rnacentral:rRNA from 1 species
GACGAACGCUGGCGGCGCGCUUAACACAUGCAAGUCGAACGGAAAGGCCUGCUUUCCCUUGUGGAUUGCGGGUACUCGAGUGGCGAACGGGUGAGUAACACGUGAGUGAUCUGCCCCCAACUUGGGUAUAAGCCUGGGAAACUGGGUCUAAUUCCCGAUAGGACUGCAGGGUGGUGCCUGUGGUGGAAAACGAUUUUCUAGUGGUUGGGGAUGAGCUCGCGGCCUAUCAGCUUGUUGGUGGGGUAAUGGCCUACCAAGGCGGCGACGGGUAGCCGGCCUGAGAGGGUGGACGGACACAUUGGGACUGAGAUACGGCCCAGACUCCUACGGAAGGCAGCAGUGGGGAAUAUUGCACAAUGGGCGGAAGCCUGAUGCAGCGAAGCCGCGUGGGGGAUGACGGCCUUCGGGUUGUAAACUCCUUUCGACCGCGAGGAAGCCACCUGGUUGGAAGGGUGGUGACGGUAGUGGUAGAAGAAGCACCGGCUAACUACGUG